UGGGGAAUUUUGGACAAUGGGCGCAAGCCUGAUCCAGCCAUGCCGCGUGCGGGAAGAAGGCCUUCGGGUUGUAAACCGCUUUUGUCAGGGAAGAAAUCUUCUGAGUUAAUACCUCGGGAGGAUGACGGUACCUGAAGAAUAAGCACCGGCUAACUACGUGCCAGCAGCCGCGGUAAUACGUAGGGUGCAAGCGUUAAUCGGAAUUACUGGGCGUAAAGCGUGCGCAGGCGGUUUUGUAAGACAGAGGUGAAAUCCCCGGGCUCAACCUGGGAACUGCCUUUGUGACUGCAAGGCUUGAGUGCGGCAGAGGGGGAUGGAAUUCCGCGUGUAGCAGUGAAAUGCGUAGAUAUGCGGAGGAACACCGAUGGCGAAGGCAAUCCCCUGGGCCUGCACUGACGCUCAUGCACGAAGGCGUGGGGAGCAAACAGGAUUAGAUAGCCCUGGUAGUCCACGCCCUAAACGAUGUCAACUGGUUGUUGGGAAGGUUCCUUCUCAGUAACGUAGCUAACGCGUGAAGUUGACCGCCUGGGGAGUACGGCCGCAAGGUU
rnacentral:rRNA from 1 species